UUACUUACCUGGACGGGGUCGACGGGUCAUCAACAAGGCCCAUGUCCUAGAUCGACAGCCUCCAUUGUGCACGAGGUGGUGCAUCGGCCUAAGGUCUGCUAGUUGUAGCAGAGCCUAUGUCAUAAUUAGUGGUAGCGGCGGGCUUGGGUUCACGUGGCCUCAG